ACAAUCAUGACAAGCGAAGGAACAAAUAAAUAGUAAUCCCACAAUUUUUACAACUGCAUUCCACUUUAAUUUGGUAUGGACAUGCAUUUUUAUCCUUGGAGUACUUUGGAUUUUAAGUGGGAAUCAUUGGUUCUUUUCUUCUUAAUAUUUUACUUCUUAUAAUUACAAAUACCAAUUUUAGAGAAUUGAGCUCGUACUUAAAAUUCAAUUGAGUAUGAAGCCACUGCCCAUUGUGUGAAAGAAACAAUUAUAACAUUGUACUCUAACAAAUCACACAUAUAGAGAAAUGUUAUUUUCGAGUCUCCUUAACCUACUGAUCUUUUUUUAGAUAUAUGAAACUUGCAUUUGUUUUCUUAAUUCUUCUGCAAUGCAGGUGAUAUUCCUAAUGGUUGCUGCUGACGCUAAAAAAAUUACUCCUGAAGCACUAGAAGUGCCCUCUCUAUGACGCAUCACUCACUGGAUCCAGAUGGGCAACAUUCCGCUUCAAGAUUAAAGAGUACCGUUUUUGCAUGCUAUCAUUGCUUAUCCAAGAGUAAUCUAGCAUGUGCCUAAUAUAUAUACAUGAUUGUUGCACCAUCACAAGAUUUCCAUUAUAUACAUGGGCAUAACUUUCUUUACUGUGAAUUAAUCGACACGAUGCUUCUGUUUUAAGGAAUGGCAAUGCUAAAUUCUACAGUGGUACUCUCUACUCUGUCGAAUGUUUACAAACACCAUAAAGCUAGAGAUCUAUUGUGGAAACUUUUCUUUCUUUUGUUUGUUAUAACUUCUUAGUGUAAAAAUAAAUAUGGCUUGUCCAUUACGAAACAAAUAUGUAAGAUUUAUUACUUUUCAAAGUUGAAUUGUUCCUGGCAAAUUACACAUGAGAGUGCAUACAAUUGAGUUGUGCUGACUUGCUGUUUCUAAAAUGAUAAGCUGGAGCUGGAGUUACAUAUGAGAGUAGAGAUAAUUAAGUUGUGCUCCUGACUUGAUUAACAAAAGCUGCAGAAGAAAGGGACAAAAUACCAAAGAGCUGAAAUUUUGAAGAAAGGUGGAAGUAGGGAACUACACAACUUGAUUCAAGGUUACGAAGGGAAAAAGGGCAUUGAUUGAGCAGGAGAAAACAAUAAUGGGCCGAGGCAAAGAUAUAGUGCUCAGUUAGUAAAGAGAUAUGUGGGAAGUUGAGCAGCGGGAUGCAAAUGGAAUUUUUGUGACUCACUGAAGGUGAGCAAAACUUCAGAAAAGAAAUUGCAACAGAAGUAGAGCCUCAUCACCAAGAGAACAUAGGGAUUUUAAGUUUUUUGUAGCCUGCACCGGAGACUGUAGAGUUAAGUUUCUACAUCUCAGUGUACAGUUUAACUAUAUCAGGUUAUUUCCUAUGUAGUAAAUAUUUGCUUUUGCCAUUGCUGAUCAUGUCCUUCUCUCUGUGCUUGGAAGCAUAAACUUACUUAGCGAUCCUUUUCUGUUAGGCUAAACUUACAUCCUUCUGCUAAUAGUUUAGUGAUCUAAUGAUUAUAAUGAUUAUUCAAAAGGGACGUUGCAUGUUCCUAGAUGCAUAGCCUUUCUUAUAUAUGUUUUCAUAACACUGGAUUUUUUUAGGGAUAACACUGGGAUUUAAGUUUUUUUGUUAAAUUCUGAAACUGAAAUCCGAAUAAAAAAUAUCUUGAAAGACCAGCAUAAUGGCACUUCAAAUAAAUGCUAAUCUACACUCACACUGCAGGCUGGUGCCCGUUCUUCUGGUGAUUUGGUCAAAGCUACUACUAAGCAAAGAUAUUUUGCAUGCUAUAAGAACAUGUAGGUUCAUAUCGGGGAGCCAUACGAUCCUGCUAAGAAUUUUGAAUCACUUUGAUAUAUUAACAACAACAUCGUUUAAAAUCCAAACAAAUGGCAUACUCCCUGUUAAUUCAAAUGCAGAUACAAACUUUAAGCUUUUCUAAAUAAGGAAAUAUAUUUACAGUCCAAGUGUAGUAAUCUGGGAGUUUGAAAUUAUUUCCCCUUUUUACAAAGCAAGGGACAUUGAAGUUAAUAUUCACAUACAUGGCAGGGAAGGAUUGAUCUCUCUGCUUAGCAAUGAAUUUGUAGCACCCCAUGAAAACAAAUAUUGUGCAGACCCUAUGGCGUCAUUGUGUUAGUAGGCCGUAUUGGCGUUGCAAUCUCCUCUUGGACUAACUAAUGCAUAGGUUAUAAAGCACAUCAAACCUUUUGUAGACCAACAAAUCCAACAUGCUAUGUAGAUCUUGUGUGUACGGAUUAAUCUGAUUGAUGACUGAUGGAAAGCUUCAGGACUUGUAUUCCCCCCUCACCCCAUAUCUGUAGUUUCCUAUGAUUCACUUUCAAAUCUGGAUAUUCUCUUAUAUAUUAACUACUGCAUUGGAGGAAAUUAAAUCACUUGCAAUCUACAAUUAAAGAAUAAUUAAGUGGGACCUUGAGAAACAAUAGUUUGCCAUGGUCUGCAAUGGGGCAGAGCCAAAGAGUUUGACCAGAAUAAAAGUCUGGACAACAAAAUUCAAUGGAGAGAGAUAUCCAUCUGUUACCCACAAAUGAUUAUUUUUUUGUUAGUGCCUCUUCUUCUUUCUUGCCCAUUAUUUAGUUAUAACGUGACAAAAUAAACAUGUUGAUUAUACCCGACUUGCACUGAACAUGAAAUUUUUGUUUAUGCACAAACAUGCGAGUUGUGUAGUACUGUAGGUUGACACUUCAUCGAAACAUAACACACAAUUACAUGUGCGUGUAUAAGGAGAAACUAUACCUGCAGCACACAUCCAUCUAUCUCGGUUUAUGGGAGAACUGGCAAAUUUAUGGUAAUGAAGCAUGUAGCUGAGGUGUGAGACAAAUCUUCCGUAGAGUGUUAAUGUUGUUAGUAGUAAUUAACUUGUCUCCUAGGAGCUAACUGCAGCAACUUACCUUGAUUGUUAGAUACAGUAUAGCAUUAUUCAUCUUCAUCCAUGAUUGAUUCUUCUGUUUGCUGCAAUUCUUUGACAAUUCUUAGCAUCACACAACCAAAGGUGAGAAGCAAAAAUUUGAAGCACGGAACAAAAAAUUCACAAACCAAUGCAUUUAGUAACCAUCGUGGUUCUUACAGGUCCUUUGCAAUCCAAAUUCCAGUUCUAUGACUUGCAAGGAAGGAUGAAGUCCAUGUCAUGAAAAUUUUAAUAUGUGGUCGCUGCCUCCUCCAGCCAUGGAUUUCAAAGGUACGCAGAUUCACCUACAACAUGCAUAUGGGAGAACUUGCAGAUCUGAAGGAAUCAAGUAUCUAGCUAAGGUGCUUGUAGCCACGAUCAGUGCUCCAUCGAGCAAUUUCUUAGGGCUGCACAGAUGCAACAACCUGGUAGAUAGGAUCAUCCUCUAUCAAAAAUAGCCAAAGGAAGAUGUCAGCAUCAGAGAUCCCAUAUAGGCCAGGAUAAUGUCAAAAUAUCUUGGCAUGGGCACGUGGCUCAUAGCCUGAACUUGAGACCGUUUACUCCAUGCUCGUGGUGGAGGCCUAGUCUCGACGGGGGCAUGGCAGUGGCGUGCGUUAGGAUUGGAUUCCGUCGAAGACCUAGGAUUGAUUUUCUAGCUGAGGCUGCGUGCGUGAGGGCUGGAGAGUCGGUUGUAGCCAUGGGAUUCUGGCGGCAGCAGCGUGCGUGAGGGCAGGGGAGUCUGCAGCCCUAUUAUGUUUUUCUUCUUUCAACGAUGGACUCAGGUAAUGGGAAAACUAAUCUAUGGCAUGGCCCUGUAUAUUUUGUCUUCUUUUCACGAUGGAGUCAAGGUUUCUAAAAAAAUUAUGGCAUUGCUGAAUCGUAGAGGCAGGUGAAAGCUAUUUUGACGCAGCAUAUGCUUUAGUAGGAGUUAUCUCUACCUCUCUAUCUCUACCUAAUCUCUACCUAAUAAUAAAGCAAAUUGGGUUUCUGCUUGUCCGUCAUUAGCAUUUUUGCUAAAAAGCCCCUCCCUUUUUUAGUAUUUAACCCGCAGUACAAUUUAAAGUCUGUUUCUUCUUGAGAUAAUGAUUCAUUUUUUGCAAAAAGGACCCGGGCACCACCACCACAACCCCGCCUUAUCCACUGCCGGUCUUCACAAACGGGCAGCGGCGCGCUUGCCAUGGCGUCCGCUCCGCCCGAGCCCAGUAAUGGGGCGAGGCGUCGCGGCGGCGUUCCUGCACGCCUUGUCGGCCUUGGAGCUAGCCUUGGCGGGGGCGGGCCGAGGCGUCGCGGCGGAGGACGAUAAGCAGACGGGCACGCGCCACCGGCGCGCUUGCCGUGGGCGUCCGCUUUGCCCGAGCCCAGUAGUGGGGCGAGGGGUCGCGCCGGCGUUCCUACACGCCUUGUCGACCUUGAAGCUGGCCUUGGCGGGCCGAGGCGUCGCGGCGGAGGACGACAAGGCGGCCGGCGUGCUCUGUUGGGGCGACGCGUCGCGGCGCUCUGGCUCCAGUAGAUGACGGCAGAGAGCCAGGUGUGGCUUUGUGUCGCCGGCCACCGUGCCAGGCUGGAAUAGCUGCUGCAGCCCCCCUUAUUUGAUACUUGCAUUUGUGGCAAGCACCUUGCUGUUCUGAGUAAUGGUUGAUAUCUUAUAUUUAGCCGAGAAGCUGAAAACUUACGAGUUGGAAAACCUUCUAGAUAUACCUAAAAAGACCUUGAAGAUAUCUUCUACUAGACUGGACGAGCUGAUUGACUGGCGAUGGAGAUGCAGCAGUGACCUGCAAUUCUUUCUGCUGUGGAUGGUUCAUUUUGAUAUCUUUUUUAUAUCUGACAAGACACAAGAAAACAACAUAUCUAUCCUGUUAUAUUUACCACUAUCAUCUACAGUGAGUGCUAAGUUGCCCAUAAAUUUUAGUUGACUUCUGUUCAGAGUGAUCUGAAAAAUAGAUAGCAAAAAAGAUUAGUGGGUAUUACAUUUAGAUUAGCUACAUUUGGGCAAAUAAAUGAGUAGAAGUCAAUUUUGUUUGCUUGAUGUUUCACUUCUUUGAUCUCUUCAUCAUUCUCAUUUUGUUUCAUUGCUUACCAUUUGUUCGAAAUUUUUUCUAGCAGUGGCAAGCAUGGUUAGGGCGAGCAACGAGGGUUCCUAUAGUGCAUAACCAUUUCGAGUCGCCCAAGUUCUAAAGAGAGAUCAGAAGUGCCAGCUACUGAAGCAAAAAAAAGGACCUGAUACACAUUGUAAUCAAUGACUGCUGAUAUACCUGAUGCAUUUCUUCAUGAUGGUCGAUUUCCUUUCACCGGAUCUUACAUGUUUAAUUAUGUGUGCUCGGAACCAAAAACUGAUUGAGAUCUUCAGUUCUUACUUGCAGAUGUUCUUUUAUUCAGAGUAAUUCAGUUUCCAGUCUCUAUGUAUUAAUCAAAUUAUGGGUUAUUUUCAACCAUAUAGACUUUUAUUAUAUGUUCAGUUAUGCUUCCAUGGGUUUUGCAUAUGUAUUAACAAAACAACCAGACUGCUAUUACGUAUAUAGUUGGAUCAAAGGGUGUACAAUUAAUUUGCUCUGACGAAAGGAAUGAGUAGGCAGCUAGCAGAAUGGGAGGACAAUCAUGACAAGCGAACGAACAGAUAAAUAGUAAUCCCACAAUUUUUACAACUGCAUUCCACUUUAAUUUGGUAUGGACAUGCAUUUUUAUCCUUGGAGUACUUUGGAUUUUAAGUGGGAAUCAUUGGUUCUUUUCUUCUUAAUAUUUUACUUCUUAUAAUUACAAAUACCAAUUUUAGAGAAUUGAGCUCGUACUUAAAAUUCAAUUGAAUAUGAAGCCACUGCCCAUUGUGUGAAAGAAACAAUUAUAACAUUGUACUCUAACAAAUCACACAUAUAGAGAAAUGUUAUUUUCGAGUCUCCUUAACCUACUGAUCUUUUUUUAGAUAUAUGAAACUUUCAUUUGUUUUCUUAAUUCUUCUGCAAUGCAGGUGAUAUUCCUUGGUUGCUGCUGACGCUAAAAAAAUUACUCCUGAAGCACUAGAAGUGCCCUCUCUAUGGCGCAUCACUCACUAGAUCCAGAUGGGCAACAUUCCGCUUCAAGAUUAAAGAGUACAGUUUUUGCAUGCUAUCAUUGCUUAUCCAAGAGUAAUCUACCAUGUGCCUAAUUGUUAUGACCGGCCAUGUCUAUGGCCGCCGCAGGCCCAACAGGCAGUCUUAGGCCCGCAAGUUACCUU
rnacentral:lncRNA from 1 species